UAAAAAACACUCCCUGCGGUUUAAAGUGAAGGUAUAUACACAGUGAACACACACUAGAAGGUAUCGUUGUUGAUACAAUUGCUGCCCAUGUUACAACACUUGUCUGGUAGAGUCGUCAAAAGGGACUUAGGUAAUGGGGUCAAUCUAAACACGCCGGAGGCAGUUUGGUUUCAAGUGGAAAUCGGAAAGUCAAAGCAGGAAUAUCAUGGAGUUGGCGGAGUUCUUCAAAGGACUCUCAGGACCGAUUCAACGUGACGCUUAAAAGUGAUCCUUGUAAAUUCGACUCCUAUGAUCAAGACGCAAAUGGAAGGAUUUCAAAGAAAUAGAUGUUGUCAAUAUUUCGAAAUAGUUUUGCGGCUGCUAUGUUGUUUGAUGUUUUGGACGUAGGAACCGUUGAUGGUACGAUUACCAAGCAGGAGUUUGCUAAUUUAGCUGCGGUUGUCAUCAAGAACUGCGUCCGGAGCAGCCUGUAACAGAGAGGAAUGGACGAUAUAUUGGGACAAUUGUCAUUUAACAUUAUUAUGUUUUAAUUGAAAUGUGUUUUUUUACAACGACAAAGAUGUUUUGAUGAUCAAUGUAUGAAGCAAAGUUUAAAAAGCGUC